rnacentral:misc_RNA from 1 species
UUAACUUGCCAGAUCGGACGGGAUGGCGUGCUUUCAACGCGGUAUGGUCGUAAUCAAUGGGUUGUCAAUUUCUUAAUAUUUAAAACAAAUUUCGCUGAGGCAAAGUGGGCGUGGAUUUCGAUGUUCGCUGUUCGCGGGAAUGGUUUAAAGGAAAACUCAAAUUGGGCUAAUCUAGAAACUCGUGGAGAGAAAUAAUAGGAUUAAAAAAUUUUUGAAAAAUUUAAAGUUUAUUAUUAUAAUAAGCUUUGUUUUUUGAAGAAUAAAGUUUAUUGUUAUUUAUUUUUUAAAACUUUUAAAGUUUAUAAAAUUAAACUUAUAACAAUAAACUUCUAACAAUCCUUUAUUGACUCUCGCUGCAAAAUUAAUUUGGCUUCUGGCAAUUGUCAGGAAUUUAGCCGAUUAUAACUUUUGUGAAUUUAUAAUUAUAAUUAAUUAUUGACAUUCUUUUGCAAAGGAUAUUUAGUAUGUUAUCAGCUGUCAUUAAUUUUUAAUUUUCGACUUUUAUUUCGGGAUUUUGAAUUCUAAAAUUAUCAAUGUAAUCAUUAUUAAUGACAGCUUAAUUACCAGCAGUCUCGGUAAUUCAAGCUUUGCUAAAUACCUAAAUAAAAGAUAUCUGGUUGAUCCUGCCUGAACUGAUGUGUUUAUUUCAAAGAUUA